rnacentral:rRNA from 1 species
GAUGAAUGCUGGCGGCGUGCCUAAUACAUGCAAGUCGAGCGAACAGAUGAGGAGCUUGCUCCUCUGACGUUAGCGGCGGACGGGUGAGUAACACGUGGAUAACCUACCUAUAAGACUGGGAUAACUUCGGGAAACCGGAGCUAAUACCGGAUAAUAUAUUGAACCGCAUGGUUCAAUAGUGAAAGACGGUUUUGCUGUCACUUAUAGAUGGAUCCGCGCCGCAUUAGCUAGUUGGUAAGGUAACGGCUUACCAAGGCAACGAUGCGUAGCCGACCUGAGAGGGUGAUCGGCCACACUGGAACUGAGACACGGUCCAGACUCCUACGGGAGGCAGCAGUAGGGAAUCUUCCGCAAUGGGCGAAAGCUUGACGGAGCAACGCCGCGUGAGUGAUGAAGGUCUUCGGAUCGUAAAACUCUGUUAUUAGGGAAGAACAAAUGUGUAAGUAACUAUGCACGUCUUGACGGUACCUAAUCAGAAAGCCACGGCUAACUACGUG